AAGGAAACACGAUGAACAAAGUGAAUUCGUCACGUCCUGUGACAACGUCGAUCUGACCCACGUCGUGUGGG
rnacentral:sRNA from 1 species